ACAACCUGCUGUUUGCCUCAUCCAUCCUGUUCACAGGUUCAACUUAUACAGAAAUCUUUGAUUGGGCUGAGCUACUGAAUCUCCAAAUUCCAAAGAAGACAACAUUUUACUUCCUGCAGUCUACUUACCUCAUACCAGUGAUUGAGUAUGCAUACAAAGACCAUCACAAAGAGAUAAUGAGAAAACUACAGACAAUUGGUGGUGGGAUUUCAAUCUGCGGUGAUGGUCGUUCUGAUUCACCUGGAUUUAGUGCCAAGUACACUACAUACAGUUUCAUGAGUGAUGAAACAAAGGAAAUCAUCAUGGUUGAGUUAGUUCAGGUAACAGAGGCAACCAGUUCACCAGCCAUGGAGAUAUUGGGAUUUCGGAGGUGUCUGGAGCGUUCGCUUCAGGCAGGAGUUGUAGUAGAUACCAUCACCACAGACCGCUCUCCUUCUAUCAGGAAGCUUAUGAGAGAGACCUACUGUGACAUCCAGCAUCAGUUUGACCCAUGACAUGUUGCCAAAGGACUGAAGAAGAAGUUGACUGCGGCUGCUAAAAAUAAGAAAAACAAUGAUCUGCUUCCUUGGAUCAAGGCAAUUAAUAAUCACUUUUGGUGGUGUUGUCAGUCAUGUGGUGGUGAUGCUGAGGAGUUGAAACGUCGCUGGACGUCAAUUCUGCAUCACAUUUGUGGCAUCCAUCGGUGGGAGGAAGAUGGACAGGAGAGGACUUGCUACCACCAAGAACUCACUGAAGAUCAGCAGAGAAAAAAGGAAUGGCUGCAAACAGACUCUGCUGCAUUCAAGGCACUGUCAGACCACGCACUCAACAAGAACCUGUUGAAAGACCUCAAACACAUGACUCUCUUCAAACAUACAGGAGACCUGGAAGUUUACCACAGUGCAAUGCUGAAGUACACUCAGAAGAGGCUACACUUCAGCUACAACUCUAUGAAGGCACGUACCCUACUCUCUGUGAUGGACCACAACGAGAAUGUUGGCCGUCAGCAAGCAAAAACCAC